CACGUAGGGUGCGAGCGUUGUCCGGAAUUAUUGGGCGUAAAGAGCUCGUAGGCGGUGUGUCGCGUCGGCCGUGAAAACCUGCAGCUUAACUGUGGGCUUGCGGUCGAUACGGGCAUCUCUGGAGUUCGGCAGGGGAGACUGGAAUUCCUGGUGUAGCGGUGAAAUGCGCAGAUAUCAGGAGGAACACCGGUGGCGAAGGCGGGUCUCUGGGCCGAUACUGACGCUGAGGAGCGAAAGCGUGGGGAGCGAACAGG
rnacentral:rRNA from 1 species